rnacentral:rRNA from 1 species
UGGGGAAUAUUGGACAAUGGGCGCAAGCCUGAUCCAGCCAUGCCGCGUGUGUGAAGAAGGCCUUAUGGUUGUAAAGCACUUUAAGCGAGGAGGAGGCUACUUUAGUUAAUACCUAGAGAUAGUGGACGUUACUCGCAGAAUAAGCACCGGCUAACUCUGUGCCAGCAGCCGCGGUAAUACAGAGGGUGCAAGCGUUAAUCGGAUUUACUGGGCGUAAAGCGCGCGUAGGCGGCUAAUUAAGUCAAAUGUGAAAGCCCCGGGCUCAACCUGGGAACUGCAUCCAAAACUGGCGAGCUAGAGUAGGGCAGAGGGUGGUGGAAUUUCCUGUGUAGCGGUGAAAUGCGUAGAUAUAGGAAGGAACACCAGUGGCGAAGGCGACCACCUGGGCUCAUACUGACACUGAGGUGCGAAAGCGUGGGGAGCAAACAGG